GAGUUUGAUCCUGGCUCAGAACGAACGCUGGCGGCAGGCCUAACACAUGCAAGUCGAGCGCGCCCUUCGGGGUGAGCGGCGGACGGGUUAGUAACGCGUGGGAAUAUACCCUUUGGUACGGAAUAGCCUCUGGAAACGGAGAGUAAUACCGUAUGAGCCCUUCGGGGGAAAGAUUUAUCGCCAAAGGAUUAGCCCGCGUUAGAUUAGGUAGUUGGUGGGGUAAUGGCCUACCAAGCCUACGAUCUAUAGCUGGUUUUAGAGGAUGAUCAGCAACACUGGGACUGAGACACGGCCCAGACUCCUACGGGAGGCAGCAGUGGGGAAUCUUGGACAAUGGGGGCAACCCUGAUCCAGCCAUGCCGCGUGAGUGAUGAAGGCCUUAGGGUCGUAAAGCUCUUUCGCCUGUGAAGAUAAUGACGGUAGCAGGUAAAGAAACCCCGGCUAACUCCGUGCCAGCAGCCGCGGUAAUACGGAGGGGGUUAGCGCUGUUCGGAAUUACUGGGCGUAAAGCGCACGUAGGCGGACCAGAAAGUUGGGGGUGAAAUCCCGGGGCUCAACCCCGGAACUGCCUCCAAAACUAUUGGUCUAGAGUUCGAGAGAGGUGAGUGGAAUUCCAAGUGUAGAGGUGAAAUUCGUAGAUAUUUGGAGGAACACCAGUGGCGAAGGCGGCUCACUGGCUCGAUACUGACGCUGAGGUGCGAAAGUGUGGGGAGCAAACAGGAUUAGAUACCCUGGUAGUC
rnacentral:rRNA from 1 species